rnacentral:rRNA from 1 species
CCUACGGGAGGCAGCAGUAGGGAAUCUUCCGCAAUGGACGAAAGUCUGACGGAGCAACGCCGCGUGAACGAUGAAGGCCUUCGGGUCGUAAAGUUCUGUUGUUAGGGAAGAACAAGUGCUAGUUAAAUAAGCUGGCACCUUGACGGUACCUAACCAGAAAGCCACGGCUAACUACGUGCCAGCAGCCGCGGUAAUACGUAGGUGGCAAGCGUUGUCCGGAAUUAUUGGGCGUAAAGCGCGCGCAGGCGGUUUCUUAAGUCUGAUGUGAAAGCCCCCGGCUCAACCGGGGAGGGUCAUUGGAAACUGGGAAACUUGAGUGCAGAAGAGGAAAGUGGAAUUCCAAGUGUAGCGGUGAAAUGCGUAGAGAUUUGGAGGAACACCAGUGGCGAAGGCGACUUUCUGGUCUGUAACUGACGCUGAGGCGCGAAAGCGUGGGGAGCAAACAGGAUUAGAUACCCUGGUAGUCCACGCUGUAAACGAUGAGUGCUAAGUGUUAGAGGGUUUCCGCCCUUUAGUGCUGAAGUUAACGCAUUAAGCACUCCGCCUGGGGAGUACGGUCGCAAGACUGAAACUCAAAUGAAUUGACGGCUGAGACCGNGCGACGACGACGACGAGGGAGGAGG